UGAAUAUUCUCAGGCGCUUGAGAGAACUCGGGUGAAGGAACUCGGCAAAUUGACACCGUAACUUCGGAAGAAGGUGUGCCCCGGUAGGUUGUAGGCGUACAGCCGAAGGCCGAUGGGGUUGCAGUGAAAUGGUGGCUGCGACUGUUUAACAAAAACACAGCACUCUGCAAACACGUCAAGUGGACGUAUAGGGUGUGACGCCUGCCCGGUGCCGGAAGGUUAAGUGAUGGGGUGCAAGCUCUUGAUCGAAGCCCCGGUAAACGGCGGCCGUAACGAUAACGGUCCUAAGGUAGCGAAAUUCCUUGUCGGGUAAGUUCCGACCUGCACGAAUGGCGUAACGAUGGCCACACUGUCUCCACCCGAGACUCAGCGAAGUUGAAGUGUUUGUGAUGAUGCAAUCUCCCCGCUGCUAGACGGAAAGACCCCGUGCACCUUUACUACAACUUUGCAUUGGACUUUGAUGAGGUCUGUGUAGGAUAGCUGGGAGGCUUUGAAACCGGGCCGCUAGGUUCGGUGGAGCCGCCGUUGAAAUACCAGCCUGGCGUCAUCGAGGUUCUAACCUUGACCCGUGAAUCCGGGUCGGGGACCGUGCAUGGUGGGUAGUUUGACUGGGGCGGUCUCCUCCCAAAGAGUAACGGAGGAGUGCGAAGGUACGCUUAGCGCGGUCGGCUAUCGCGCUGAAAGUGCAAUGGCAAAAGCGUGCUUAACUGCGAGACUGACAAGUCGAGCAGGUGCGAAAGCAGGUCAUAGUGAUCCGGUGGUUCUGCAUGGAAGGGCCAUCGCUCAACGGACAAAAGGUACGCCGGGGAUAACAGGCUGAUUCCUCCCAAGAGUUCAUAUCGACGGGGGAGUUUGGCACCUCGAUGUCGGCUCAUCACAUCCUGGGGCUGAAGCCAGUCCCAAGGGUAUGGCUGUUCGCCAUUUAAAGUGGUACGUGAGCUGGGUUCAAAACGUCGUGAGACAGUUUGGUCCCUAUCUGCAGUGGGCGUUGGAAGUUUGAAGGGGGCUGCUCCUAGUACGAGAGGACCGGAGUGGACGCACCUCUGGUGUACCGGUUGUCACGCCAGUGGCAUCGCCGGGUAGCUAUGUGCGGAAGAGAUAACCGCUGAAAGCAUCUAAGCGGGAAACUCGCCUUAAGAUGAGACUUCCCGGGGACUUGAUCCCCCUGAAGGGUCGCGGAAGACCACCGCGUUGAUAGGCCGGGUGUGUACGAGGAGUAAUCCUCUCAGCUAACCGGUACUAAUUGCCCGUGCGGCUUGAUCCU
rnacentral:rRNA from 1 species